AUACGUAGGUGACAAGCGUUAUCCGGAUUUACUGGGCGUAAAGGGCGUGUAGGCGGUCUUGCAAGUCAGAAGUGAAAUUCCUGAGCUCAACUCGGGCGCUGCUUCUGAAACUGCAGGACUUGAGUGCUGGAGGGGAUAGCGGAAUUCCUAGUGGAGCGGUAAAAUGCGCAGAUAUUAGGAAGAACACCGGUGGCGAAGGCGGCUAUCUGGACAGUAACUGACGCUGAGGCGCGAAAGCGUGGGGAGCAAACAGGGUUAGAUACCCUGGUAGUCCACGCUGUAAACGAUGAUUACUAGGUGUGGGGGGACUGACCCCUUCCGUGCCGCAGUUAACACAAUAAGUAAUCCACCUGGGGAGUACGGCCGCAAGGUUGAAACUCAAAUGAAUUGACGGGG
rnacentral:rRNA from 1 species